CCCGAACAGGCAAUUAAGGCACCGGUGGCUUUGCGCUUGACUUUGAGCGUUAGUUUGUUAGCCGGUCACGUGUGUGAGGAGCGUGGGGGGGGUGAGAAGAAACCAAUCGCACGCUUCAGCUCAGGCCAGCCACUAAUUAGGGUGAAGAGGAGGCCAGUGGACACGCGGUGUGAUUAAAUUUAGAUCUGGAGGGAGAUCUUGACCCCGCGUGCCCCUCAUCUAAGUGACAUUUAGCCAGGAUAACCACACUGCAGCUGAGGCUUAUUAACCUUUUGUGGGCCUGAACACCACUGACUGGCUUAAUUGGCAGAUGGAUUAUUAAAUAGAGCAACUUCAAGAUGAUUGAACAUCUCAUAUCUACAACGCACAGGCGUCCUCCUGCACCUCUGUGAUCAGCUGUGGCUACUUACCCCCCAUGUAGGCUGUCUCCGAUGCUCUAUAUGGAAAAUCAAACCCCUGACACUGAAAAAAAAAAAAAGAAAGAGCAGGCGUUAAAAAUACAAGAGAGGACUGGUGUGCAUUUCAUCUUCUGUGUCUUGUUUCAAAAUACCAAACGGAAAGAUGCGUCGCAUCAUAUUUGAUGAUACCAGAUAUUGCAAGCCAGUUUGAAUGCGCAGAAGUAUGACUGUCAUUUGUGAAGAAGAAAAGGUGUUUCAAGCUUUUGUCUUUGAGCUCUACUGAAAAAGGGUUCUGGAUAUUUGGUUAUUUGUUUAGAGGUAUUUGUGUGUUAAAAGGGAUAUAAAUGUUAGUUUUUUGUUAAGACAA